rnacentral:rRNA from 1 species
CCAGACUCCUACGGGAGGCAGCAGUGAGGAAUAUUGGUCAAUGGGCGAGAGCCUGAACCAGCCAAGUCGCGUGAAGGAUGACGGCCCUACGGGUUGUAAACUUCUUUUGUCAGGGAGCAAUUGGGUCCACGCGUGGGCUUAGCGAGAGUACCUGAAGAAAAAGCAUCGGCUAACUCCGUGCCAGCAGCCGCGGUAAUACGUAGGUGGCAAGCGUUGUCCGGAAUUACUGGGUGUAAAGGGAGCGCAGGCGGGAAGCCAAGUCAGCUGUGAAAACUACGGGCUUAACUUGUAGACUGCAGUUGAAACUGGUUUUCUUGAGUGAAGUAGAGGUUGGCGGAAUUCCGAGUGUAGCGGUGAAAUGCGUAGAUAUUCGGAGGAACACCGGUGGCGAAGGCGGCCAACUGGGCUUUAACUGACGCUGAGGCUCGAAAGUGUGGGGAGCAAACAGGAUUAGAUACCCCCGUAAC